rnacentral:lncRNA from 1 species
UGCAAAUAGUCAGCCACGAGGACAUCAGGGACAUGCAAAAAUCAAAAAGUGCCCAGGAUGGUCCUGUGAGCAAUCCCAGUAGCAGUGACAGCAGGCAGGACUCGCCCCACAAAGCCCCAAAGAAGAAGGGCAUCAAGUCCUCCAUUGGUCGUUUGUUUGGCAAAAAGGAAAAGGGUCGGCCUGGACAAACUGGCAAAGAAUCACCAGGACAAGAAACCUCAUCUCAGGAUGCGUUCCGACUUAGCAAACUGGGAGGAAAGGCUGAAAAAAAUCGAAAAUUUCAAAAAAACUCAACAGGCUCCCAGGAAGGUCCUGUGAACAAUCCCAGUACCAGUGACAGCAGGCAGGAUGCGCUCCACAAAGCCCCAAAAAAGAAGAGCAUCAAGUCCUCCACUGGUCGUUUGUUUGGCAAAAAGAAAAAGGUUCUGCCUGGACAAACUGGCAAAGAAUCACCAAGACAAGCCGUUGUUUCUGAAACGGAAAACUCAUCUCAGGAUGCCUUCCAACUUAGCAAAUUGGGAGGAAAGGAUGAAAAAAAUCGUCAACUUCAAAAACACUCAACAGGCUCCCAGGAAGGUCCUGUGAACAAUCCCAGUACCAGUGACAGCAGGCAGGACGCGCUCCACAAAGCCCCAAAGAAGAAGAGCAUCAAGUCCUCCACUGGUCGUUUGUUUGGCAAAAAGAAUAAGGUUCUGCCUGGACAAACUGGCAAAGAAUCACCAAGACAAGCUGUUGUUUCUGAAACAGAAAACUCAUCUCAGGAUGCCUUCCAACUUAGCAAAUUGGGAGGAAAGGAUGAAAAAAAUCAUCAACUUCAAAAACACUCAACAGGCUCCCAGGAAGGUCCUGUGAACAAUCCCAGUACCAGUGACAGCAGGCAGGACGCGCUCCACAAAGCCCCAAAGAAGAAGAGCAUCAAGUCCUCCACUGGUCGUUUGUUUGGCAAAAAGAAAAAGGGUCCACCUGGACAAACUGGCAAAGAAUCACCAAGACAAGCUGUUGUUUCUGAAACAGAAAACUCAUCUCAGGAUGCCUUCCAACUUAGCAAACUGGGAGGAAAGGAUGAAAAAAAUCGUCAACUUCAAAAACAGUAAGCUUUUUGUUAUUUCUCCAUCUCAUGAAACAUUUUUCUGAGUUA